GGGAAAGAUGCUGGUAUGUUCAAUGGGAAAAUGGAAACCUUUACAGAUUUCAAAGGCUUUUUCAUGAGCAGGAAUAUUAAGUAUAGGAAUCCUAUAUUGUUCUUGUCACUUUAAUGAGUUCACUUUCUGUAGAAGAGAAUCUUACUGGAUUCAAAUGAACGCAGGGCUUUAAAUCAUUCUACACCAGCUCCACCUAAUGUUCG